GACGAACGCUGGCGGCGUGCCUAAUACAUGCAAGUCGAGCGGACCACUUCGGUGGUCAGCGGCGGACGGGUGAGUAACACGUGGGCAACCUGCCUGUAAGACUGGGAUAACACCGGGAAACCGGUGCUUAUACCGGAUAAUCCUUUCCUUCACAUGAGGGAAAGCUGAAAGACGGUUUCGGCUGUCACUUACAGAUGGGCCCGCGGCGCAUUAGCUAGUUGGUGAGGUAACGGCUCACCAAGGCAACGAUGCGUAGCCGACCUGAGAGGGUGAUCGGCCACACUGGGACUGAGACACGGCCCAGACUCCUACGGGAGGCAGCAGUAGGGAAUCUUCCGCAAUGGACGAAAGUCUGACGGAGCAACGCCGCGUGAGCGAUGAAGGCCUUCGGGUCGUAAAGCUCUGUUGUCAGGGAAGAACAAGUACCGGAGUAACUGCCGGUACCUUGACGGUACCUGACCAGAAAGCCACGGCUAACUACGUGCCAGCCGCCGCAGUAAUAC
rnacentral:rRNA from 1 species